CCACAACUACCCGUGUCAUUUUUUAUACCUCCCUAUAGGGGUUACAUCUUCACACAGAUAUAGACAGACACACAGACGAUACAGAGACAGACACGAACACAGAGACAGACACACAGACAAUACAGAGACAGAAACGAACACAAAGACAGACACACAGACGAUACAGAGACAGACAAGAACACAGACACAGACACAGAGACAGACACGAGGCAUAGGCAACGCUAUCACUAUAACCUGAGACUUAACGUAAAGUACAAUUACAGCACAUAGUACAAAAAGCAUCAGGCAUUGCUGAAGAUGUCUGAAGCUAUCUAUGCCAAGCCAGACAUGGCCAAGAAAGUCAAGUUUGACAGAGGUGAGACGGAGGAGAGGAUUGUGGAUAUCUACGUCAGUGCAGACACCCUGAGAGACCACGAGACCAGCACCAAGACAGAAGAUGUAGAACACACUUCAACUAAAGGACCGGGAGACCAGCACACAGGGCCUGAUAGCACAGGGAAGAGACCUUUCCUAGCUGUUGCGGUGUGUCUGGGGCUGCUGUGUGUUCUCCUACUGGCUGGGAUCAUAGGCCAGUCUGUCCACUAGAUUUCUCUUUAGCCUCAACAAGAGAGUCUGGAUCGGUCUGACUGACAGUGAGACUGAGGGGUCCUGGAAAUGGGUAGACGGCACACCACUGAACACAAGUUACUGGGGGAGCAACCAGCCUAGUAUUGGUGGUCAUCAUUCAACCCAUCAGGAGAAGGACUGUGUUGAACUAAGAGAUGGACAAGAUCAGCCUGAAAAGACAUGGAAUGAUUUAGAGUGUGAUAAAAAAACUGAACUGGAUUUGUGAGAAGUGUGAUAAAUAACCUACUGCAACAAUCUCUCUCUCUCUCUCUCUCUCUCUCUCUCUC